rnacentral:tRNA from 1 species
GAUCUUAUAGUUUAUUUAAAAUUUUAAAUUGCAAGUUUAAAGAAGCCUAGUGUUAAGAUUU